rnacentral:tRNA from 1 species
GUCAAGAUGGUAGAAGUUUAAAUAUAUAUGGUUUAGGUCCAUAUGAUAAGGUAGUCCUUUCUUGAC